CCCUUAGAUGUUCUAGGCCGCACGCGCGCUACACUGAUGCAUUCAACGAGUCUAAAACCUGGUCUGAUAGGGCUGGGUAAUCUUUUGAAUGUGCAUCGUGAUUGGGAUAGAUGAUUGCAAUUCUUCAUCUUCAACGAGGAAUGCCUAGUAAACGCAAGUCAUCAGCUUGCAUUGAUUACGUCCCUGCCCUUUGUACACACCGCCCGUCGCUCCUACCGAUUGAAUGUUCCGAUGAAUACCAUGGACUGAGAGUAUGAAUGGGUUCGCCUAUUUCUGCUUCUCGGGAAGUGGAGUAAAUCUUAACAUUUAGAGGAAGGAGAAGUCGUAACA
rnacentral:rRNA from 1 species